GGGAGGCAAUAUGAUUUAUUAAGUGCUGUAUUUAUGUGUGUGUCCCUCCGAUUUAGAGGAGGCUGCUUCUGCCGCAAAUGCAGCUGACAAGCUUUGUUUGCUGACAAGCCAUGCCGCCUUUGAUGCAUAACUGCGGUGUGCUUCAGUUUCUUCAUCUCACUAAUCCGCACCCAGAGUGGUGUGCAGGUUAACUGACAUGAUGCAAGUGAAAGUGUUUUUAUGCUCUUAAAGCACUAUAAAUGCAAGGGCUGCGUCUGGGAGGGCUUUCUCCAAGCAGAUGUAGAACUUCUUGGGACACACCCAGGCUUAGCCCUUGGAUGGUUCAGUCAGAUUUAGAAUGUGCAUUUGGUGGGUGCCUGGCCUUGACCCCACAAUUUGGGAGUCCUCAAGGAGUCAGUGUUAAUUUUGAGCCCUUCAACUCUUGGGAGCAGAGACAGUCCCGCCUGAAGGGUGUUAGAACUGGGAGCUUCUUAGUCCUGUUGUAUUGAGCAAGAUCAUAGUCCUUAGAAAACCACCCAGUAUUUAGAGCUUGGGGUAGGGGAAGGAAAGUUCUCUAUAGGAAAAUUCAGGUCAGACAUCAGUUAAAUAACAGUGUUUUGUAGACCAUUAAUUUGGCCAUAUGGUCGAAUGCCACACAGCAGUUUUGCAAAGGUCUGUUUUCAGAGUAAUUCCUAGUAUUUCAUGAAUUUUAAGUGGUAGUAAUUGCAGUAUGAAAGUCUAGCUUGAGAUCUAAUUUGUGUGAGGUUGACCAGAUGACCACUCCUGGGUUCUGCUCAGUCAGAUGAGACCUAGGGCCAGUUACCCAUUUGCGUCUCUGGGCCUCGGGAUGCCCAUUUAUAAAUCUAGGGUUUGGACUUUGGUCUCCAGGAUCAUUGUCAGCUCUCUUUAGUUGUAUGUUUUGAAUGCAACUUAAUGACCAAUCAACAUCUGUUACUGAGAGAUGCAUCCCUAGAGAGAGUGGCCUUUCCUGGUCUUUUAAGCUGUUAGUAGAUGGGUCAGCCUGGCUGGACUUGAUUUUUCUUUGAAGUUUACCUUGUCUGUUAGGCUGAGAGGUUGCCGAUUUUGCCUGACACACUUGAGGGUCUCACCUUUGGAGACUUUGUCUAGCCUCUGUCUUCCGUGCAUGCACCACAGCCCCUGCCACUGUUCCAGAAGCUCCAGUGGCACCAGCCAAGGUUAGCUUGGCCUGGAGCAAGGCUGGGCCUGGUCGGAUGGCUGACAGAAUACUGUUUGCUGGCCAACUGACUAUAUAUGAAGCUUAUUCUCUUCUUUAACCUUAACUUUUGUUAAAAGAUAGUAGGAGGGGCCGAUUCUGAAAUGAUUCUGAAAUUAAUGUAGGAGACCUGGUACAGUUAGUAUGCUUUUUUGAGUAGCACGUACCAAUAUGACUGAAGGACAGAUGAGUUGGAAAUAAUGGGGAAAUGGUGCUCUCACACAUUGCUGGUGGGAGUGUAAGAGGUACAGCCUCUGUGUAGAGCUAUUGGCAGUAUCUGUCAUAAUUAAAAAUGGAUAUACUCUUUGAUCCAGCAGUCCCACUUCAUAUAUUAUCCCACAGGUUCCCCAUAUAUUCAUGACAUAAUUUAUGUACGAGGAUAUUCAUUAUAGCAUUUUUUGUAAUAACAGAAGAUUAGAAAUAAUUUAAAAGCCCAAUGAGGGACUAAUUAAUUAUAAAUAUUAUUAUUGUGUAUCUUUAUAAUGAAAUACUUCUCGGCCAUUGAAAGUAAUGAAACUAACUCUAUGCCCUGAUGUAGAACCAUCUCUAAAUAUUUUAAAUAGGGAGAAAUAAGUGUGAAGUACUAUGAUUAUAUGCUGUUUUGUGUGUCUAUGUAUGUGCAUUAGAACAGCUUCCUAAGAAAACAAAAAGAUGUCAGUGGUUGCCCUGAGAGGAGGGGUAACUUGGAGAUUACUUUUGCAACUUUUAGUUUUUGUACGAUAUGUAUGUGCUAUCUGUUGAAAAAAGACAUUGUCAUGCCCUAAAGGAGUUUACACUUUAGUCAGACCAUUGUAGAAAAGCCCAGAUGGGACGCGUAAAGUAUAGGGUAAAUAUUGGCUUUAUGGGAAGAUUGAUUAAGAAACUCUCUUUCUGCAGCUAAGUCGACCUGCUGUGCCUGUGAGUCAUCAGGACAGGCAGGUCUGACAGUAUCAAGAGGGCCAACUUCCAAGUGUCAGUGCCCUGCCUGGGGAGAGGGCACCAGGGUGAAAGCAGUUUCCAGACCUUGUCCUGUAAAGGUGUGAACCAGAACAUCAAGGAGCCGCACCGCGGUGUGGGAAGAGCUUGGCAGGCUCAGCACCAGUUCAAGGUUGGAGUCCUGGCUCUGCCACUUGUCGAACAUGUGAUUUGGAGUAGGGUGGUUCAGUGCUGAAAGCCUGAAUGUGCUCAUCCAUAAAUGAAGAUAAACCACCUCCCUGUGCUGCUGCAGCGAAGCUUGAAUGAGCCACUGCCCACAAACGCUCCUGUAAAGUGAUUUGCAAACGGCAGCUGUGAUAGAUGCUGUUAGGUACCUGCAGGCUGGCAAGCUGGAGUGGAGCAGGAAAUAGAUGCUCAUUAAAAAAUUGAAGUGAAGCAAAAAUAUAUUUCUUUCUCUUUGCCAAAUAACUUACCAAGAGUUGCCAAAUCAGAAAAAGUGGAUUGAAGGUAGUUUUACAAUCGUUGACCAAGUUGUCUCACCCUUUAAAUUUUUCCCUAUUUGAAAAAUAAACGGGGCUGUUUGUGAGUCCGGUGGUCCCCUGCAGAUGUAGCAUUCCCGGACAGUGUGGCAUUAGUAGUUCCCAUCGCGGCUGAGGUGAGUCAUGCUGACUGAAAACUCUAAAUGUGAGGAGGAAGUCUCUUUGUUUUUGGAAGUUUUUCUUGGGCUGGAGAAUCUGAGCCUCUGUCGGAGUUUUGGGAAAGUGGGGGAACACUGCUGCCACCAAGAGGGGAGAUGAAGCAGACCUACAGUGAGUGGACAUGGAGCCAUAGCAUGUUUUUUUCACCUCUAAUGCUUGCUUGCAAAUGUUCACCUGGACUAGGCCUUUGGAAACCAGGUUUAACCCUUGUUCGUUUGGUAGAAUGUUCAUAGCAGUUGUGACUUGGGUGCUUUGCCAGCUGCCACUUGUCUGUGAGGUCUUUCUGUGAAGUUUUGGGAUACUUCCUCCAUGCUGCCUUGGCCCCUACGCCUCUCAUCACAUUUCAAAACUAACCUCAGAGACUGUCUGUUUGCCUUUGCGUCCUCAGCACCUCGCACAGUUCCUGGUGCCUGAGAGGUAAUCCAGGCAAGGGUAUCAGAUGGGUGGAUGGAUUAAUGAUCCACUUGGGGUAGCAAGUAUACUAUAUCUUGCUGAUCUUGACCACCACCUUUACUAUAACUACCACCAUUCUGGUAAAAUGAAGUUUUAGCCAUUAAUAGCUUAUUAUUUCAAGAAAUAAUUCAUACUCAAAUUAAGUCCAUGCUGAAAAAAACAAAACAGGAUGCUUGGAAUGUAUUUUAACGUUUUGUUUUAUGCAAUUAAAAAAAAAAGAAACAAAGGCCAAGUUUUGGUCAUACAUACUACAAUAUAUAACGUAUAUCUAAAGUUCAUCACCUCUACCGUCUCUGGCACACAAGGUCUUUGGCUGACACCAAUAAACAGCGUACAGUACUUAAAAGCCUGGGUGACUGUCCUCUUUCUUACCUUUUUAACCUAAUUGUAGGCAGUUAAGUCUCCAAACAAGCUUUAAGAUUGAAAUAAUUUCUUUUUACAAAUGUGGGAGGCAAAGUGGGUAAAGUCUUGCAGGGAGUUGAGAAGUGGCUGUAAAGAGCCCUAAUCGUUCAUUGUGCUGGACCACUGCCCUCCGACAUGGGGACACGCUGUGAGGAGGAGGAUGGGCAAGCUGGGCUGUUGGACUUCAAGGUGGGUAGCUGAGCCGCCUGGUUAGCCCACACCCAGCUAACUUAAGUGUACAUUAGGUAAAGUAGGUUAGGGAGUUAGAUCCAGUGUGCUUGAAGGUUCUGUUGGUAAUAGGUGGGGGAGGGGGCGUUGGGGCGUUUCCCUGUGGGAUCAUUCUAAUAGUGAUGAAAGACUGACUUUGCAAAUGUCCUUUCAUGUGUGGAGCAUGGCAUGCAGAACUGCAUACACACAUGGCCUGUUCAAAAAUGGGGAAGAGAAGAGAAAAAUGUAGCCUGAAGUUUGCUUAUCAAACCAAGCCAUUCUCUGACACAGUAGUGAUGACCCUUAGCACAAGUCCUUUUGAGCCUCAGCGGCAGCAUCCUGCUCCAGUACAGACAACCAGAGAGAGGGACCACUGGGAUCUGGGUGUGAGGUAUCCAUGGGCAAGUCAGGUCCAUGCACUCUUUGUAGCAGGUGAGAUUACCUGCUAUUUUGGAAAUUAACUGUUGUUUCUGAUUUAUUUUUGGCCAAAUCCUAGGUGCCUAUUGAGAAAAGAAAUAGUCCAAGUUCCUAUUCUUUUGCUUUCCAUGUUUGCUUUAUCUUUGCAUCAUGCUUUGCAGUUCACAGACAAGAGGAAUGGGUAAGGGUUGCAGUAAACCGGCAGGAUCAUAUUUCUUAGAUUGAGUCAUUGCUGAGAAACUUGUUUGUGAACAGGAAGCAGCCCAUGAAAAUGUCUGUACAUAGUAAUGUGCCAGACUGUGAGGAAACUGGACCAUUUAAAAAAUAAUGGUCAGUUAUUUUUAAAAACGGAGCUGUAGUUAUACAGAAGUUAACCCAGCAAUAUUUACACUUGGCGUAGAUGACUCUGGGGCCCCUUUCAUCUGUAACAUUCUGUGAUUCCCUUUAUUUUCUGUGGUUCCUCAUUUUUAAUCACCUACUUCUCAAUUAUCGUAGCAAUGUAUUACAAAGUCAGCCAGUCAGUCCAGUAGAACCAAGUGUUUGAGCGUGGGCAAGCCUUGAAUGAUCUGUCACUUGCCUUCACUAGAAUUCUCACUGAGAAAACAAUGGCAUUGUGUUGUGUAUCAUCUUUUAAUGAAGCACUAGUAGAGAAGCAAAGAGAAGUACAGCGGUAGGUAAGUAUGAAUUAUAAUAGUUACCAGUGAGAUGUAUUUUAAAAACACCUGCUUGGUGUCAUUUUACUUUAGUAAAGAUUGUGACUGCAGAGAAGAACCUUGUGGCUAAAGGAGAUCUUUUUUGUUGUUUUAUCAACUUCGAAAUUCAGGAAUGCCCUCAGCUGUUUUUCGUAGCCUCCUAUAGCUUAAUUUGGUUUGUACUCAGAUGGACGAUGUGAUUCAUGUAACACUGUUUUACUCAGAAAUAUUUGAGCAGCUUCUGUGGGAAAGAAAAUAUUAAACCAGAUUCAGCUAAAUAAUACAACCAUCUGGACAUAAUAUAAAGACUGAAAUGUAUGAAAGAAAAACAUUACCAGGUGUAACUUAGAUUCUGAAUGCUAAUAAUUAGUAUUUGGAUGGAAGAGAACUCUCAGGGAAAUACACCAACAGAAACUUCUUUAUUAUUUUCUUAACGGAAAUAACGUGAUUUUAAGAAAGAAUAACUUGAGACAUUGUCUUAAACCCUGAUACUCUAAAAUUGGAAAUUGGAAAUGAACAUCAGUUUUCAUUUACCGUUUACAAAAUUAAUCUGUGCGAUUAAUAUUUUUAACAUUUUAUUGGUCAGAUUUAUUUUGAGAAAGAAACCUCCCACCACCUUCCCAUCAUUCUCCGGACAAAACAGAGGAUAGGAGAGGGAAGGGAGUAAAGGGGGUUGGGAGGUGCGAGCCUCAUUUACGGAUCUCAGUGUGUAAUAGAAAACAUCUUAUUUUUCCAAAGCCUCAGUCUAAAAAUUAAUUAGGAGGAGAUGGUGGUAUCUUUCUUUAUCUUUUCUGAUAUUUUUGGAUCAUCUGAGCACGAUAAAUGAUAGUUUGUUCAAGGUACUGUAAUUGGCUGCAAAAGGCAUAUUUGGUGUUCAAGGCCUUUCUUCAUUGUUUAUCCUGGAACAAAGAUGUUUGUUGUAAAGUGGUAUGAGUUUCAUGGUCCAACUUAAGAUUUCCCAUAAAAUGUGUAAGAGCGUACCCAGAUGGCAAAUAAUGAUAUAUAUCUUUUAAAAUGAAUAUUUCCUUUGGGCCAGAUGGUGACUUAACGCAAAUUGUUGAACAUUUGUUUCUUAUUAAAUUGUCUUCCUUUGUCUAAGCCAAGCUAGCAACAUAGUUUGGAACACACUCAGAAAUCAUUAAGGAACAAGAACAAAAAAAAUAGACUGCCUUAGACACUAAGGCAGACAGCAUUUGCUCCAUUUGGAUGUGAAGGCUUACUACCAGUGCCUGCGCAGCCGAGGAGGCUUUUUCACAGGUCCUAAGGAAGUACCUGUUGAAACGCUGUACAUACCAUUCCCCCACUUGCCUCUCCCUCCCCUGAUUCUUCCUAACAGCCAUUUUGUAUGGUGACCUUCCUCGUGGGACUUAGAGGGGUUGCUGUUCUUUCUCAGUGCCUGGGAUUUAUGCACAAAGAGCAGCUUUAGGUCUUCUUACACAUUUCCCUUCCCCACUGUCUGUUGUUAUGCUCUUGUUUGUUAGGGACUACUUCCUUUUAGAUGGUACUGGACCUUUGCAGAGAGAUGGGUCCUUUGUGAAAUACGUCAUGUGCCCAGCCACAGGGCUCCCCUACAGGAAACCCUCACUGCCUUUUAGGUUAGCACAGAACACAGUCCUGAGCCUAUGGGGCUCCCAACAGUGGGUCUUGGGUGGACAGAUUUUUCUGUCGUUCAUAUUUUCAACAUAAAGCAAGCUUUGGACACUUCACACAGUAUCAAAUCCCUGAAGUUUUUUUCUUCUGAAACUUAAGUGAAAAUGAGUAACACAGCAUGACAUAUUUAAAGCCAUGAGAAGAAACCCAUAGUUGCUGCAUUCUAAAUUGAAUGAGAACUUGUUUUAAUGAAUUCAGAGUAGUUAAAACGCAGAUUAUUUAAAAGUCUUAGUUUUCUUUUAGAGUUCUCUUGCUAAGAAUAAACAUUAUAUAAACAUAAGCUUAAAAAUACAGAGAAAAACCUGAAACACUUUGCAACCUGUUCUGGGUCCCAUUGAAGGUUGCCCCGCCUGGAUUAAGGACAGUUAGAUGUUUUUAUUUGAAACAUCUUUUGGUGGCAUUCUGGGUGGAGCCAGUAGGCUAAGGCUGUAUGAGCUGCUCUGCCUGCAGCAUUGUUUAGUGUGAGAUAAGGAGAACAGGGUGCUGAAGAGCUGAUCCAAAUGAUGUGUCAAAUGUUUUUUUGUUUGUUUGUCAAUAAGUAUCCAUCAAGGUGUCCUUUUCUGAUCAUGUUAUGGGAAGUCUUUAAAAAUCAAGUCAGUGUGGAGCUGUGCAGUGAAGGGUCAUCAGGAAUCCAGCAGCAAUUGAGUGGGUUUAUGUGUGUACAGGAAAGUAUACAUGAAAGCAUAAAGUCAUUUAUUUUUAUUUAUAGCACAUGUUACACAUGCCUGGUAGGUAAUUUCAGACAUUUCCCGAGGAGGAGCCAAGUAACUUCAUUGCUGAGUGUUUUUUCUGCUCCCACUACAGUUAGGUCCACAACUUCAUUUUUCUCCACUGGCUUGGAGUUUGGCUGGGCUUAUCACAAGUAGUUGGGGCCCAUCGCUGUCAACAUGCAUAACAUUUGCAUAAAUACUCUACAUUUACGGAUUUCUUGCAUGAUUCAUUUGAUCCACCAAUAUCUGUAUGAUAGGAAUAGGAUAGAACAAUUUUACUAAAUUUAUAGCUAAACUAUCUGAAUCCACUCAACAUCACAUCUGAUGGGGAAGAUAUCUGAGGGAAAAGUGAAGAAUAGAAAUAUAUAAACUCUUGUGUGAUUACCACUAGUAAUUUUAGAGUAAAUUACAUUUCCUCCAGCCCAUAGGGCUGGGUUCUAGAGAUACUUUGGAAUAGUCAGAUUUGGGUUUAGGCAUUUCUAACCUAAAUUGCUUCAGUGCUCUUUCGGUUCUUUUAUGAAAAAGUCAAAAGUGGGUACUGGUUUUUAUCCUGGGGUCUCUUAAUAAGUAGUAACCCCAGGCCUAGGCAGUCUGGGGAAAGUGACGGAGGGAUGUGACAGAGUGGUCCUCAGUGUUUGCGUUUCUCUUUCAUUCAUUCCUGAAGAGCUCAGCACACUUUGUGCAUUAGUUUUUGAGAGGGAUAAGAGCAGGUAGUGUUCUGUAGAGAGAGAAGCUAAGAGUUCAGUAUGAAUAUACACUGCACCUCGUUAAUACUGUGGCUUCUUAGCUCCUAUUUGGAGAACAGCCUGGAAUAGGAUACUGUGCUGUGCUGAUUCACCGAGAAGGUACGGCCCAACCUAAUCAAAAUUUUAAGUAGGUUUCUCUGUACCUUGGAUCUUUCUCUUUCACAUGACCUUUGGGUAAACAUGUCCAUUAAAAUGGAAACAGGUUGUUUUUAUUAAAGUGUGAAUUAUUCUCAUGCUUUAUUUAGCAUGAGUAACACAGCCCCCUGAGAAGAUAGCCAUGUAUAACUAAAUUCUCUGCAGUUGUCGCUCAUGGCCAGCAAAAUGGCCCAGAGGACAUGUGCUCAAUCUGUCUGUGAAGAGCCACUUCUUCACUCAACAGUAUGUCAAGGCAAAGUAUAUGUAUGACAAUGGAUUUUAUAUUCUGCCAAGGUUAGGAACCACUGGCCAAGGACCAGAUUUUAUAUUUUUGGUGUAAGCUAGUGUUUAAGAAAGCAUGAGUCCCAAGAUGGAGGCUGCCUGGGUACAUGUCCCUGUUCAGCCACCUCCUUGUAGAAUCCCUGCUUUCUAAACCUCAAUAUUCUUACCUGUAAAAUAAGGAUAUAUGUGACCUUUAUAUGACUGUUUUGAGUAUUAGUUUGUAUAUUAUUUAAAGUAUUCCAAACAAUGCUUGACAUAAAAGAACUUAAUAGGUGUUGGUUUAACAAUAGGUAUACCCUGGCCAGAUCUAAGGAACUACAGGUGCUGUUUCAACUAGCUCUAGUGUAUGUGCUUUAUACUGUUACACUGCUCAAGACUCAGAUGAUGGUGAAUACCCUUGAAGAGGGUUUCACACCAUUUAAGAUUUCUAACACCGACUUUGUAUCAGGGCCAGAGGCGGCCUCUGCUAUUCAGACAAGCUGUACUGACUAGGCUGGUGGCCUGCUCUUCCUUUGUUGGGUGAAAAUAGUCUUGACAGCUCACUGAAGCACCAGCCAGGUUAUUUUUGGCCUUGGAAGGCUGAAAGUAGUAGAGCUGUAGACAUACUGGGCAGCCUGGUGUUGCCAGCCAUCACCAGAACCAAAAUACAAAGUUUGAAUCUCCUGGCCUUCAGGCCCCAACUCCCUUUCCCCCAUGUCUUGAUUUUUGUAGUCUCAAUCUCAUUAUUUGCAGUAUAGAUGACUGGUUAAAUGGAAACUAAAUUUCCUACUAGUGUAGACUUUUCAAAAAACUAAAAUUGUAAGUCAAGAAAAUUGCUUUGGACAUAAGUGAUUAGGAAAAUC